GUGAAAAUCCCGGAUUGUGUGACUAGGAUUACCGGCACCUGGUCAGGAGCACCCGGGGAUUCAGAAUCUCUGCCUUUGCGGGACAACACGAAAGGGUAGGACUUAUGCUGAUCAGCCAUGAGUGCAGGAGCUGGACGAAGAAUGUACAUGUCCGGGCCAUAUCAGACCAAGCGGGUUAAGGGUCUAUCAGUGAUGAACUUUUGAACUCUAUUUUGUCGUUUAGGUCGGCUAGAAAUAAAUGACUUGUAAUAGCGUUUGUAAAUAUUUUUGGGAUCCCAACUAUUUUAAAAGUUUAAAUAUAUUACAAGUUUAUUUUCAUUUUGUUUAAUAUAAAAGUUUAAAUUCUGCGCUA